ACCGCUCUGGAUGUGGCACCAUGGCACCUGGCCCCGCGCAGCCCUUACCGGCUUGUACUCGGGCAGCCACUCGGGGAUGUUGAGGUUAUUGAUCUCAGAGGCGAUCUUCUUCCUGUGCCCUGGCUUGGUGACACCAAUGGCCGUGAGGUCCUGAGGGAGAGAGGAGAAUCAGGAUCACUCUCCACAAGCAGGUGGCAGUCCCAGGACUGCUCUCAUGGUCUCACCUCUGGCGUCAUCCGGCUGAUGGUGGUGAUGUCGUAGCCGGCGUUGAUGAAGUUUGGUGCGUAGAGCUGCAGCUGGAACUUACACAGCCACUGGUACACAGCUUCUGAGCUCUAGAAUGAGAAGGGUGGUGUCGCUCGGGGCAGCCUUGGCACAGGGAUCUGUUGCUCUGUCCUUGUCACAGCCCCAUGGGCUGUCCAGCUGCAUGCUGGCCUCAGAUCAACCAGCACUGCAGAAGGGCCAUGUAGCCCCUUGGCUUGGGCAUCCCAUGGGCACGGCAUCAUGGCCAGCACCGGAACCAGCACUCAGCCACGCCAGCACAGGUGGUUGUGGCACAGUUCUGCCUGCAGCUGUUGAUGAGGGGGUGGCUGUGCCUAUGCCCCCCAUCACUGUGUACUCCGUAGGGUACCCAGUGCACUCAGUGCUCCCUGCUUACCUUCCCCUCUGAUGGUGGCUCCAUCUUCUUCAGCUGCUGCUCGGCAGGUGGUUGGGGGGCAUAGGGGGAGCUGGCCACACUCUGCGACCGCGACGAGCCUGCUGGGGGGGGGCAGCAGUCAGUGGGGAAUGGGGCCAUGGGUCUGAAGGGCCUCGUAGUGCUGGAAUCUUGGUCAGGCCCUUCUCAGUGCAUCCCUGUGCUGCAGCCCCCAGACUCUGGCUGUGCAAGGCAGGGAGCAGAACCCCUGUCAGGGGCAACAAGGCUAGGAUAGGCAGAGGAGAGCAACAUCCAGCCCCAUGCAGCGGGGUGCCCUUACCUGGGCUAUGCUCCCUGGGACAGUACCAUCCCUGUGCUGCUGGUGCCCAGUAAGGCCAGCAGGCUAUCCCCAGGCUUACAGAGGAGGCUGUGCUGGCACACAACUCUGCAGGGUACCCAGGUCUCCCUGGCCCCCAUGCCAUCGUGCGCACAGCUCCCACAGACCGUGGCAUCAUUGGGGCAUUAAGAGGAUGGUGCUUACCUGGGGUAGCCAAGUGGAGGCUGAGGGCCAGAGUGUUUCGAUGGACCCAGCAGGAGGCAGACCCCUCCCCAGAGUUGCUUUCCUCGUCUGCCCACGUGCCCCAGGCAGCAGCCUGAGGUCCUGCUGCCCAGAGCCAUCUGUGCCCACUCCUCCAGCCAUGCUACUGGCACAGGGCUGGGCUCAGCCUCACUGCAGCCAGGAGACCCAGCAGACAGCCACUAGCAGACCUGUACCCCUGCACCUCAGCACAGGCACCCAAACACCCCUUGGCUUCAGGAUGGUGGCCUUCAGCAGCCAUCAGGUUGCCCAGAAAUUUCAACCUCAUAUUUCUAAUCCAGAUCAACAAGAGCAUCCCUUUCCCCCUGCUGGUAAGUGCAUCCUCCUUGUGUGUGUGUGUGUGUGUGUGUGUAUGUGUAUGUGCACACUACUCCCCCAGUUUGUGUGCAUCCCCCUGGCGCACGCAUCUCCCCGCUGUCUGCAUCUCACUCGCGUGGGCACCUCCUCACAUGUGCCUCCCUCUGCCAUGUGCCUCCCCACCAGAUCCAUCUCCCACUCAUGUGGGCACCUUCCACAUCUGUGCACUCCCUCCCCAGUACCUGCACCCCCUCAGCGUGCACACCACCCCCAUCAAUGCCUGCAUCCCCCUAUGUGCGCACCUCCCCCCUGCAGCCUGGGCACCCCCCGGCACGCACACCCGGCACGCGAGCAUCGUCCUCCUGCG
ensembl:lncRNA